GGAAGUAGGCGGGGCCUCAGUCCACAGGGCCGCACAGCCUACUUGGUAAAGACAGGAAAGAAAUACAGACCACGGUGACAGCCGUAACAAUGCAGAGUUGUAGAUGCAGAGAUGUAGAGUUGUAGAUGUAGAGUUGUAGAUGUAGAGUUGUAGAUGUAGAGUGUUUUAUUCUGUUCUGUUCUAUCCAGUGUUCUAUUUUGUUCUGUUCUAUUCUAUUCCAUUUUCUUCUGUUCUAUUCUGUUCUUUUCUAUUCUCUUUUGUUCUGUUCUAUUCUAUAUUUUGUUCUAUUCUGUUCUGUUCUAUUCUAUAUUUUGUUCUCUUCUGUUCUAUUCUCUUCUGUUCUGUUCUAUUCUAUUCUAUUUUGUUCUAUUCUGUUCUGCUCUAUAUUUUGUUCUAUUCUGUUCUAUUCUAUAUUUUGUUCUAUUCUGUUCUAUUCUAUAUUUUGUUCUAUUCUGUUCUGUUCUAUUCUAUAUUUUGUUCUAUUCUUUUCUAUUCUAUCCAGUGUUCUAUUUUUUUGUUCUGUUCUGUUCUAUCCAGUGUUCUAUUUUGUUCUGUUCUAUCCAGUGUUCUAUUUUGUUCUGUUCUAUUCUGUUCCAUUUUGUUCUAUUCUGUUCUAUUCUAUUCCAUUUUCUUCUGUUCUAUUCUCUUCUGUUCUGUUCUAUUCUGUUCUAUUCUAUUUUGUUCUAUUCUGUUCUGCUCUAUAUUUUGUUUUAUUCUGUUCUAUUCUAUAUUUUGUUCUAUUCUGUUCUAUUCUAUCCAGUGUUCUAUUUUCUUUUGUUCUGUUCUGUUCUAUCCAGUGUUCUGUUCUGUUCUAUUCUGUUCCAUUUUCUUCUGUUCUAUUCUACUUUGUUCUAUUCUGUUCUUUUCUAUUCUCUUUUGUUCUGUUCUAUUCUAUAUUUUGUUCUAUUCUGUUCUAUUCUAUUCUAUAUUUUGUUCUAUUCUGUUCUGUUCUAUUCUAUAUUUUGUUCUAUUCUGUUCUGUUCUGUUCUAUUCUAUAUUUUGUUUUAUUCUGUUCUGUUCUAUCCAGUGUUCUAUUUUGUUCUGUUCUAUUCUGUUCCAUUUUGUUCUAUUCUGUUCUAUUCUAUUCCAUUUUCUUCUGUUCUAUUCUGUUCUUUUCUAUUCUCUUUUGUUCUGUUCUAUUCUAUAUUGUGUUCUAUUCUCUUCUGUUCUAUUCUAUAUUUUGUUCUAUUCUGUUCUAUUCUAUCCAGUGUUCUAUUUUGUUUUGUUCUUUUCUGUUCUAUCCAGUGUUCUAUGUUGUUCUGUUCUAUUCUGUUCUAUUCUCUUUUGUUCUGUUCUAUUCUGUUCGGUUCUAUUUUGUUGUUCUAUUCUAUUCCGUUCUAUUCUAUCCAGUUUUCUAUUGGCCCAUGGAGAGACCAGUUGAGCAAACCCACAGCUUUUCCCCAAUCAUUUCGGGGUCUCUCGCUGUGACAUGACACGAGUUGGGACGCGAUGCAGAGUUGUAGAUGCAGAGUUGUAGAUGUAGAGUUGUAGAUGUAGAGAUGCAGAGUUGUAGAUGUAGAGUUGCAGAGUUGUAGAUGCAGAGAUGCAGAGUUGUAGAUGUAGAGUUGUAGAGUUGUAGAUGCAGAGUUGUAGAUGUAGAGAUGUAGAUGCAGAGAUGUAGAUGCAGAGAUGUAGAGAUGUAGAGAGUUGUAGAUGUAGAGAUAGAGUUGUAGAUGUAGAGUUGUAGAUGUAGAGAUAUAGAGUUGUAGAUGCAGAGUUGUAGAGUUGUAGAUGUAGAGAUGCAGAGUUGUAGAGUUGUAGAUGCAGAGUUGUAGAUGCAGAGAUGUAGAUGCAGAGAUGUAGAUGCAGAGAUGUAGAGAUGUAGAGAGUUGUAGAUGUAGAGUUGUAGAUGUAGAGAUAGAGUUGUAGAGUUGUAGAUGUAGAGAUAUAGAGUUGUAGAUGUAGAGUUGUAGAUGCAGAGUUGUAGAGUUGUAGAUGCAGAGUUUUAGAGUUGUAGAUGUAGAGAUGCAGAGUUGUAGAUGCAGAGUUGUAGAGUUGUAGAUGCAGAGUUGUAGAUGUAGAGUUGUAGAUGCAGAGGUAGAGAUGUAGAGUUGUAGAUGUAGAGAUGUAGAGAGUUGUAGAUUUGUAGAUGUAGAGUUGUAGAUGUAGAGAUAGAGUUGUAGAUGUAGAGAUAUAGAGUUGUAGAGUUGUAGAUGCAGAGUUGUAGAUGCAGAGUUGUAGAGAUGUAGAUGUAGAUGUAGAGUUGUAGAUGUAGAUGCAGAGUUGUAGAUGUAGAGAUGUAGAGUUGUAGAUGUAGAGUUGUAGAUGUAGAGUUGUAGAUGUAGAGUUGUAGAGAGUUGUAGAUGUAGAGUUGUAGAUGUAGAGAGUUUUAGAUCUAGAGAGUUGUAGAUGCAGAUGCAGAGAUGUAGAUGCAGAGAUGUAGAUGCAGAGGUAGAGAUGUAGAGUUGUAGAGAGUUGUAGAUGUAGAGAUGUAGAGUUGUAGAUGUAGAGAUGUAGAGAGUUGUAGAUGUAGAGUUGUAGAUGUAGAGAGUUGUAGAUGUAGAGAUGUAGAUGCAGAGUUGUAGAUGCAGAGUUGUAGAUGCAGAGAUGUAGAGUGUUGUAGAGUUGUAGAUGUAGAGAGUUGUAGAUGUAGAGAUGUAGAUGCAGAGUUGUAGAUGUAGAGUUGUAGAUGUAGAGAUAGAGUUGUAGAUGUAGAGUUGUAGAUGUAGAGAUAUAGAGUUGUAGAUGCAGAGUUGUAGAGUUGUAGAUGUAGAGAUGCAGAGUUGUAGAUGUAGAGAUGUAGAUGCAGAGAUGUAGAUGCAGAGUUGUAGAGAGUUGUAGAUGUAGAGUUGUAGAUGUAGAGAUAGAGUUGUAGAUGUAGAGAUAUAGAGUUGUAGAUGUAGAGUUGU
ensembl:lncRNA